AUUGAACGCUGGCGGCAUGCCUUACGCAUGCAAGUCGAACGGCAGCACGGGAGCAAUCCUGGUGGCGAGUGGCGAACGGGUGAGUAAUAUAUCGGAACGUGCCCAGUCGUGGGGAUAACGUAGCGAAAGUUACGCUAAUACCGCAUACGAUCUACGGAUGAAAGCGGGGGAUCGCAAGACCUCGCGCGAUUGGAGCGGCCGAUAUCAGAUUAGGUAGUUGGUGAGGUAAAGGCUCACCAAGCCGACGAUCUGUAGCUGGUCUGAGAGGACGACCAGCCACACUGGGACUGAGACACGGCCCAGACUCCUACGGGAGGCAGCAGUGGGGAAUUUUGGACAAUGGGCGCAAGCCUGAUCCAGCAAUGCCGCGUGCAGGAUGAAGGCCUUCGGGUUGUAAAGGUACU
rnacentral:rRNA from 1 species